GACGAACGCUGGCGGCGUGCCUAAUACAUGCAAGUAGAACGCACAGUUUAUACCGUAGCUUGCUACACCAUAAACUGUGAGUUGCGAACGGGUGAGUAACGCGUAGGUAACCUGCCUGGUAGCGGGGGAUAACUAUUGGAAACGAUAGCUAAUACCGCAUAAUAUUGAUUAUUGCAUGAUAAUUAAUUGAAAGGUGCAAUUGCAUCACUACCAGAUGGACCUGCGUUGUAUUAGCUAGUAGGUGAGGUAACGGCUCACCUAGGCGACGAUACAUAGCCGACCUGAGAGGGUGAUCGGCCACACUGGGACUGAGACACGGCCCAGACUCCUACGGGAGGCAGCAGUAGGGAAUCUUCGGCAAUGGACGAAAGUCUGACCGAGCAACGCCGCGUGAGUGAAGAAGGUUGUCGGAUCGUAAAGCUCUGUUGUAAGAGAAGAACGGGUGUGAGAGUGGAAAGUUCACACUGUGACGGUAUCUUACCAGAAAGGGACGGCUAACUACGUG
rnacentral:rRNA from 1 species